GCACCCUCACAUGCUGUCCAGUGUGAAGUCUCUGACGUCCAAAGGAGAAUCUGCAGCAUGCUACAACGGAGCUUAUCUUCAGUGCGAAUCCUCCUCGUUUAGAACAUUAGCUACUUAAACUUUCUGAUAUAAAGCUGCAGAGGAAGAAACGAUGGUUUGAAUGAAGGCGGGGCCGAAGCUCUGGAUGCAGGUUACAGCUGGUGACUCGUCAAAGCGAGGAAAGGCCGGGAUGAGACAGAAGGGAUUCAAAGUACAGACGGAGACGGCGGAGGCAACAGUACCUGCUGGCCUCUCCUGAGUGCUCACUAUGUUCCCAACAAGCCUUCCGACUCUGACCUGGACUCACACCACUGGCACCCCUGGUUCUCAGGCCUGUGGGUUUGGACUGGAACCACAGCACUGGCUCUCCUGGGCCUCUAGACUGCAGAUGGCAGAUGGCGAGGACCCUUCAACCUCCACAACUGGAAUUUUAGCCACUCAUUUCCCAUUGUCUGCUGUCCAGCUCCAACCGAUCAGUAAUUCAGAGAAGCACCAGCUAAAGUGAAGAAGUGUGUGUAGCCAGUGGAUCUCACGAAUGUGGGCUAACGUCCACCGCUAGAGACUGGGUACAUACACUACGGUGCCCCACGCAACGGAAGGAAGAAGUCCUUAUGUACUGAUACAGAGACGCCUCAAAGAUAUACUGUAAGAUGAAAAAAAUAAAAAUAAAACACAAGGUGCAAAAUUCUGAGUAAAUAUUAUCUGUUACCAAUUGGAUAAAAACUUGGGAUAAAUGUAUAUACUGGUGUGCUCUCACAGUCAUCUCUGGAGAGCUGCAUAAGAAACUAUGUCAUGGCUUUCCUGUGGGGAGAGAUGCCUGGGUGGCUGGGAGACAAGGGUAGCAAGGGGACUUUAUUUUUUAAGUGCAUGCUUAUUUAUACUUUUUAAAUUUUGAACGAUGUGAAUACAUUAACCAUUUGAAUUUUAAGUAAGUAAUCAGAAUUUCAAUCAAAUCAUCAGCAAACAUCAAACAAACCCAAAGUGAGGAACAGUCUAUAGAACAGUUAGCCUGUCCUCUUCAAAAGGGUCAAGGGCAUCAAAGACAAAGACUGACGAACUGUUCCAGAUUAAGGGAGACUAAAGACGUGUGGCAGCUAAAUGCCAGGUGUGAUCUGGAUUAGAUCCUGGACCAGAUAAAAGACAUUUGUGGGACAGCUGGCAAAAUACGAGUAAGGUUUGUAGAGCAGCUAAUAGUAUUGUAUCAACAUAAUUUUCUCUAUUUUGAUAACUGUAUUUUGGUUAUGUAAGAUAAGGGCCUUGCUUUUAGGAACACAUACUGAAGUACUUAGAGAGUUAAUGGGGCACUUUCUAUAACUUAAGUGGUUCAGAAAAAAUUAAAUGUGCAUAUAUAUGCAUAUAUGUAUAUAUAAACACACACAUACAUAUAUAUAUAUAUAUAUGUGAGGAGAAAGAAUGAAAGCAAGCAUGGCAAUCCAGGUGAAGCCUAUAUAGGAAUUUUUGGUAUUAUUUUUUCAACAAUUAUUUUAAGUUUGAAAUCAUUUCAUAAUAAAAAUAUUUGUUUAAAAACCACAAUGAAAUAUCAUUUCCCACCCAUGGGAAUAGCUAAAUUAAAAACACUCAUAUACUAAGUGUUAUGGAUUGAAUUGUGUCCCCCAAAAAAGAUCUGUUGAAGUCCAAACUUCCAGUACCUCAGAAUGUGACCUUAUUUGGAAAUGGGGUCCCUGUAGAUGUAAUUAGUUGAGAUGAGGUCAUACUACAGUAAGAGGGACCCCUAAUCCAAUAUGACGGGUGUCCUUAUAGGAAGACAGCCAUUUGAAGACACAGACACACAGGAAGAUCACCAUGUGACAAUGAGGGCCAAGAUGGCAGUUAUGCAGCUAUAAGCCAAGGGGUGCCAAAGACUGCUGGCAAGCUGCCAGACACUGGGAAGAGGUGAGGAAGGACUCCCCACUUCCAGGUUUCAGAGGGAGCACAGCCCUGAAAAUACCUUAGUUUUAGACUUCUAGCCUCCAAAACUGUGAGACAGUAACUUUCUGUUGUUUGAAGUCACCCAGUUUGUGUACUUUGUUACAGAAGCCUAGCAAACUAUACACCAAGCAUGGAAGAGGAGAUAGAGCCACUGGAAUGCUCAAACACUCCUGGUGGGAAUGUAAAACGGGACAUAACUUUGGAAAGCCAUUUUGCUGUUUCUUAUGAAGUUGAACAUACUAUUGACCAGCAAUUCCACCCCUAGAUAUUUACUGAAGGGAAAUGAAAGCAUAUGUCCACACAGAAACUUAGAUAUGAAUGUUUAUAGCUUUAUUCAUAA